GUGAAAAGGAAUCCACUGAUGUGCUGCGAGUGGUCAUGACUGGUGGUGGACUUCAGCCCAUGGAACAGCUGGGACUCACUUUUCUGGCCCCGGAGCCACCUUACUUGGGUCGAGUAUCAGCUAUGACUCUCCUAUCCAGCACUGAGCCCUUACCAUGCUGGCACAUCACUUCAACCAGACACUUCUUUCCUCUACACAUCAAGGAAUAUCUGACCCUGCCUCAUCUGUCAUCUUUCACACUCUUCCUGGAGCAUCUACCCUGCUUAUCUCUCCAACAUCAUGCUGCACAAGGCUGAGGAACUUGGUUUGUUCUGUCUAAAGAAGAGAGGAACUGAAGCAAGCACAUAAACGUCUUUAAAAGCAUAACUGGCAAAAUGGGCAGGAAAAAACCUAAAACGGAACAAAAAUAAACAGUCAACAAGCAGUAAGUAGUCUACAUGCAUGAUGGGAGAUUUAGUUUUUAUAUUAGGAGAUGUCUGAAAGCAACAGCCAUGAGACAGUAUUGUAGGUCAUCUAGGAAGAUACUGACUUCU